rnacentral:lncRNA from 1 species
AGUCUACAAGAAAUUAAUCAUUAGAAUAGUCUAAUAAACAAGACUAAUACAUAUAGAGGCAGAAGAUACAAUAUUGUGAUUUUCUAGAAAACCCAUUUCUCAAUCAAUCGAAAAUCCAUUAUUCCUCAAUAUAAAAACACCGUUAAUCUUUGAUUUUUUUACUUUGUUCUUCUUCUUCAUCUUUUUAAAUCAAUUGCCCAUUAGUAAAGAGGGGCAGAGGGCGGCUAGGCCUGACCUCGAUACAACACACAACCAUUAGUGAUAUCAAUCAUAAGUGAUAUCACCCCACCAGAAGGUAUAAAUAAUUAUAUUGCCUUCUGGUACAUACAUAAAUCUAUGCUAACUAACAAAGAAGUUGGAUUUGUCAUAUUUACAUCUAAGACUAGGCAUCAUCCAUUUAUCUAAUUGGAUGCAGCCUCUAGCCUGUCUAGGAAGAUGAGAAAGGGACUGAGUGAUAAGAAUCUGCGUAGAGGUGGAAGCCAAUUUGGCUAACCAGUGAGCAACUUGAUUCCCCUCCCGAAAAUAGUGAGUUACUUGAAUCCCUAUUCUAUUCUUGAUACUUUUGAUGUUGUCCACAACUGUUUUCACUUCAUAUUAGUGACAAGAUUGUUGUUCAGCUUGUUGGUUAUAGUUGUGGAGUCUAGUUCGAGAGUGAAAUUAGUGUAUCCUUGAUAUUCACAACGCCUCUGCCAUAUUACUGCUACUACAACGGAACGAAAUG